UACGUAGGGUGCGAGCGUUGUCCGGAAUUAUUGGGCGUAAAGAGCUUGUAGGCGGUUUGUCGCGUCUGCCGUGAAAGCCCAGGGCUUAACCCUGGGUCUGCGGUGGGUACGGGCAGACUAGAGUGUGGUAGGGGAGACUGGAAUUCCUGGUGUAGCGGUGAGAUGCGCAGAUAUCAGGAGGAACACCGAUGGCGAAGGCAGGUCUCUGGGCCACUACUGACGCUGAGAAGCGAAAGCAUGGGGAGCAAACAGG
rnacentral:rRNA from 1 species